UACGAAGGGGGCUAGCGUUGCUCGGAAUCACUGGGCGUAAAGCGCACGUAGGCGGACUCUUAAGUCGGUGGUGAAAUCCUGGAGCUCAACUCCAGAACUGCCUUCGAUACUGGGAGUCUUGAGUCCGAGAGAGGUGAGUGGAACUGCGAGUGUAGAGGUGAAAUUCGUAGAUAUUCGCAAGAACACCAGUGGCGAAGGCGGACUCACUGGCUCAUAUCUGACGCUCAGGCGCGACAGCCGUGGGGAGUCAAACAGG
rnacentral:rRNA from 1 species